rnacentral:rRNA from 1 species
CAACGAAUCUUCCGCAAUGGGCGCAAGCCUGACGGAGCAAUGCCGCGUGUGGGAUGAAGUGCCUACGGCAUGUAAACCACUGUCAGAGAACAGAAACACUGAUCGUUCUCAAAGGAAGUGGCGACUAACUCUGUGCCAGCAGUCGCGGUAAUACAGAGGCCACAAGCGUUAGUCGGAAUCACUGGGCUUAAAGGGUGCGUAGGCGGUCUCUCAAGCGUCCUGUGAAAGCCUCGGGCUCAACCCGAGAACAGCAGGGCGAACUGGGAGACUCGAGGUUGGUAGGGGCUCACAGAACUGUCGGUGGACCGGUGAAAUGGGUAGAGAUCGACAGGAAUGCCGAUGGCGAAGGCGGUGAGCUGGGCCAAUCCUGACGCUGAGGCACGAAAGCGUGGGGAGCAAA